ACAGAUACAGACAGACACACACACACACACAUUCCAGAAGGUAGUGGUAGGCUAUGGUGGUCGUGGAUGUGUGUGGGCGUGUUCAUGUGGUGUUUGGCGUCCUAGUGGGUGGUGGUUAGCGUAUAUGAGGUAUUAAGAGGCUUGCCCAUUUGCCUCACCGCUUCCUGGGAUUCGAACCCGGACUCUCGAUUGUGAGUCGAGCGUGCUAACCACUACAUUACGGGGUGUGUGUGUGUUGGGGGGGGCGGUGUUGGGGUGUGUGUAUGCGCUGUGUUCCUGACAGGGUGUUUUGUGGUGUUGCAGUUGCCUGAAGUGGUGUCAGGGGCCUAACGCCAUCUACUACCAGGAGGCGGCGGAGCUGGCUGUGGGCUACCGCUGCUCCUGCCGGCACAGCAUGGGCGGGCCGCAGUGCAGCAUUGUCACGGUAGUGGUGGGCAGCGUGGCGCGACCAAGCACCGAGGCGGAGGCCAUGUCGGCGGGCCAGGUGGUGCUGGUGGUGGCGUUCAGCACCGCUAUGCCCGUGGUGGUGGUGGAAUUGGUGUUGGUGAUCGUGUGCAUGAAGCGGAAACGCGUACGUGACUGCCCGUGUCGGGAUGAGGAGGCGCGGCGUCAGAACGAGCAGAACAUGGUGCACAACGCUGUGGGCGCCGUCAACACUGUCUGGACCACCACAUGAUCCACUCCCUAAACUUCCCCAUCAAGAAACCCCUCAACACCCUGCCACCGCCUCCCCUUGCAUCACCCACACCACACCCACCUCCACCACCAUCACCUCACGACCACGGCUACAAGAAUCCCGCGGAGAACGUAUACUCCGCAGUGGCCAUGCGCACCAGCAGGACUCAACGAGGAUGUGUCGUGGCUCUCGCUGGCUGACCGCCUCCACAAGGACAUUGAGCCCCCGCCCAGCGCCCGCGUCACGCCCACCUCGGACUCCACCGCCCCAUGCAAGGUGUUCCGGAAUUCCUUCCUGCCGCGCACAUACACCCACAGUUUUCAGUAUUUUUCCUGGAGAGAUGGACAGCGCUAUCAGGUACAGGAUUUGCGAUGACAACGGCUUGGAGUGUGCGGCUUGGACCCACUCGCCCUGACUUGCCAAGCGUCACUUCAAGGCAUGUAAACUGAGCCGCCACCACCAGUCCAGAGGGUGAAGCACAGUGAGCGUUCCUGUAGGGUGAAGCAAUGAUGACACCCAGCGUUACCAGUCAGCGAGGCCUGCAAUCAAGCGACCGCCGGCAGAGAGAGGAGCCUUUCCCUGGAAUUUUGACGAGUACCUUGUUGAAGCAGCGAGCAGAGACAGCGUUGGAAAGUGGACUAGUACAGUUUGACCAGAGUCCAACAUUGCACCAGGAUUAAGUGUCCAGGGAUGAAGUGAUACACGUGUGCAGAGGUGCCAGGAGGACGGACGGACGGACAUCAGCCAACAGCCAUCAGCCAUCAGGAGAGCGUGGCGGGAAACACACCACUGUGUAGCUUUCACACGGCUCACAGUUUCCACUCACUCUGGCGGUAGAUGUGGUGUGUGGGGAGGGAGGGUAGGAGAGGACGCAGCCGCUUGCACCUGGAGGAACGUGUGUGUGUGUGUGUGUGUGUGUUUGUGAGAAGAAGAUUACUAUUCGUGAUAUUUUGAUGUAUGCAUUUAUUAAACUGAGCUGGAACAUU
rnacentral:misc_RNA from 1 species